ACGGGUGAGUAACGCGUGGGAACGUGCCCUUCGGUUCGGAAUAACUCAGGGAAACUUGAGCUAAUACCGGAUACGCCCUUUUGGGGAAAGGCUUGACUGCCGAAGGAUCGGCCCGCGUCUGAUUAGCUUGUUGGUGAGGUUACGGCUCACCAAGGCGACGAUCAGUAGCUGGUCUGAGAGGAUGAUCAGCCACACUGGGACUGAGACACGGCCCAGACUCCUACGGGAGGCAGCAGUGGGGAAUAUUGGACAAUGGGGGCAACCCUGAUCCAGCCAUGCCGCGUGAGUGAUGACGGCCUUAGGGUUGUAAAGCUCUUUUCUCCGGGACGAUAAUGACGGUACCGGAGGAAUAAGCCCCGGCUAACUUCGUGCCAGCAGCCGCGGUAAUACGAAGGGGGCUAGCGUUGCUCGGAAUCACUGGGCGUAAAGGGCGCGUAGGCGGCUGAUUUAGUCGAGGGUGAAAGCCCGUGGCUCAACCACGGAAUGGCCUUCGAUACUGGUUGGCUUGAGACCGGAAGAGGACAGCGGAACUGCGAGUGUAGAGGUGAAAUUCGUAGA
rnacentral:rRNA from 1 species